UACAACAUGAUUACAGAUUUUGGCCACACUGCUUUUAAUAUUUUUUUUUAAUUCUUUAAUAAAGGUGCCUCAACUAUUAGAAUUGACAGGACUGCUUCAGAGAGAGAAAUAUAACUCUAUUGUUUUACGUGGGGAGUAUGAAUGACCAAAAUCUUGAAAUAGUUGAAAUCUAUAAUAAUGUGGUUAAGUAGCAAACAACUAAACUCUGCUUAACUAGCUUAGCUGCUUAAUUACACACCUUAAUAACGAAUUUUUGUUGUGCUGUACCUGACAGUAAUGCUUACAGAUUGCACCUGUAUUUAUCAUCUAUAUUUGUAAACCUCUCUAGUUUGACAAAAACAGAGUGCAACCAAUGGACCAGUACAAGGGAAUCAUGCUAAUGAAGUAAAUGAAAAUCUUCUCCCAGGUAAACUGCUUCAGAGAAUAAGUGGAGUGAAUCUGUAUUUCUCACACACUUAUUGUGACCAUUUCACUCACACGUAACACUCACUUUGACCUGUUUAAAAGAUGCAUCAUUUUAUGGUAAAUUAAAAUGAAUAAGCUUUCUGUGAAAGCAAAUAAGCUUCCUCUUUGGAUUUCACAGGAUAUAAUAGUAAUGGACAUGCACCAACAGCAGUCAAUGGAAGUAAGCAGUUAUCAGUGCAGAUACAGCAGAAAUAUCUGCUGUUUUCUGAAAUAAUGUGCCAUAAGGGCUGUGUAGUAAUUCAUUGCAUAAAAGAUUAAAAUAAAAAAAUGUUUAAACUGCACAUAAGUAUUAAAUUAUUAAUGUAAUAAAUUGUUUAGAAUUCAAUUAUUUUAGUUACCUGCCUUGUAGUAAACCCUCUGUAAUGUCUUUACUUUCACUAGAUCUUCUCUUGAUUGUAGAGACUUAGAAACAGUCUCUACUGUUCCCAGCAAUAUCUCGCAAAUGAAAUUUAACAUUUGGAAUAAACUACAGUUAUUAACUACAGUUGUUAACUGCUUAAUUGUUACUGAAACAAUCAGGGAACAGCUCACAUCUGAAACCUCUCACUGACUUACCCUUCAAAAGGGAACUGCAUAUAAAAAUGCUGUAUGUCUGUAAUGUUUCUGAUUUUACCUCAUUUGGAUGUAAAUAGUCUCAAAUUCAAUUGCUUCUUUUCAAAAUUAUUAUUUUUCUAAUGGUAGUUAAAUGUUUAUAUAUUUUGCAGAAUAUAAACAUGUAUUUAUAACAUCCAUUUAAAUGAUUAUAUCUCAAAUAUUAGAAAAAUAAUGGCAUAAUUAGAAAGCAGAAAUUUACUUUUUUACAAUUUGAAGUAGCAUGUCAUAUUCACAAAUUAGUACAAUUUGUUUGGAAAUGUUCACAUUGCAGCCUAACUAGCCUUUGCAUUAUUUUUAAAUUAUUUAAUAAUAAUAAAAUAACAUUACUUUGUGCUCUUAACCUCAUGUUGAUAGAAAAUUAUAUUGUUAACAUUGUUUCACUUUAUCCAGUAUGUGCUGCUGUUACAUUACGACCUGUGUUUAUAAUGCAAUCAAGGGACUGAAGUGGCCAGGGCUCCUGAACACUGGUGCAUCUCUAAAUUUAAGCAUACAGUAUAUGAAGUUUACUUAAAUGAUUCUGACAUUUUUCUCAUUCGUUUCCCUCUAUUAAAGGACCCAAUGGAGUGAUAAUUAUUGCCAACUGAAAAAUAGUGAAGCAGGAAAAGUAGUGACUGAAGAUGGAGAUUGAAUUUGAAUUUUUGGAUUUGUUCUUUCAUAAAUUCUCUUAAGUAUGUAGGUUACUUAAACCGAUAGUUUGUAAUGACUACUUUGAUCAUGCUACAGACUGUGCAGUGUUUUUAUGCAUGUUCAUGUGUGAUGAGAAAGGACAUGACAUAUGGGGGAUUUUUAACUUUUACCCCCUUAAGCUCAAGGAAACUGUAAAAUAUCUGGAAUAACACAUUUUGCCCCCUUUUCCUAACAAAGGAGGUUAGGGAAGCUGUAGUCAUUCACUGUUAUAGCCAAAAAGGUUUAUUCAGGUUAGGUCAAACAUUUCAGUGGAUGGCCAUAUUCUUUGUUACAUUAAUACAUUUGGUAAAUGCUUUUAUCCACUGCAUUCAAGCUAUACAUUUCACCAGUUGAUACAUUUCAUGAGACUCAAACUCAUGACCCAUACUAGAGCUUGUUUUACUGUUUGAGUCACAAGACGACGGAGGUCAAAGUAUGAAUUUAUCAAAAUAAGUGUUGCUCUUAAGUUUUGAAUGAGUGAUGUUACAGGUUUAUUUAGUGGUUGCAAAACAAUUACUUAGUUGAAGAUUUGGCUUUGUUGACUGCAGAUGAACUUUAUUUUUUCUUCAGUAUUAAUAGCUUUCUUUCGCUAUGUAGAAAUAAGCAUGAGACACCACAGAUCAUGUCAUGAGUAAAGUUAGCACAAUUGACUGAAAAACAGAUUCAUUGUUACCUAAAAAUUUUAAACAGAUUUGUAUGUAACAAAUUAAAAGAAAUGAGGAAUGUUAAAUAGCAGUAUUGUAAGUUAAAGUUCAUACGCAUUUCAUAAUAUCCACCUUAUUUUUCCUGUAAGAGCAGAUGUGGCCAUUAGUAAAUUUAACUGGUCUGCUUCUGGUGUUAUCCGCUUCCAGCACUUUAGCUGUUGAAAACAGCAAAAAACGGGUGUUUCUCACCAUAUUAUUUUUAAUGUAUUAUCUUAAUUUUAAACAUACUGCUUUGUAGCUCUCACGCUUACUUUGAGUUUAAGCUUGUUGAAGUGUUUUUACAUGUAGUAAAUAAAACCAAUUCCUAUUAAAAUUUUACUUCAUA